UAACACUUAGAAAUAGGUGCUAAAACCGCAUAAGCGCACAGUACCGCAUGGUACAGUGUGAAAAACUCCGGUGGUGCAGGAUGGACCCGCGUCUGAUUAGCUGGUUGGAGGGGUAACGGCCCACCAAGGCGACGAUCAGUAGCCGGCCUGAGAGGGUGAACGGCCACAUUGGGACUGAGACACGGCCCAAACUCCUACGGGAGGCAGCAGUGGGGAAUAUUGCACAAUGGGGGAAACCCUGAUGCAGCGACGCCGCGUGAGUGAAGAAGUAUUUCGGUAUGUAAAGCUCUAUCAGCAGGGAAGAUAAUGACGGUACCUGAGUAAGAAGCCCCGGCUAACUACGUGCCAGCAGCCGCGGUAAUACGUAGGGGGCAAGCGUUAUCCGGAUUUACUGGGUGUAAAGGGAGCGUAGACGGCAUGGCAAGUCUGAAGUGAAAGCCCGGGGCUCAACCGCGGGACUGCUUUGGAAACUGUUAAGCUGGAGUGCAGGAGAGGUAAGUGGAAUUCCUAGUGUAGCGGUGAAAUGCGUAGAUAUUAGGAGGAACACCAGUGGCGAAGGCGGCUUACUGGACUGUAACUGACGUUGAGGCUCGAAAGCGUGGGGAGCAAA
rnacentral:rRNA from 1 species